GAUACUGAAACUAGUAUGAAUUUCAAGAUAGAACCAUAGGCAGUCACACACAUCAAAACGUAUGGUUCCUGCCGACAGGGUCUGUAUAGUUAUCAUAUUUUCUGUGCGAUGGCUCCAUACAUG